UACGGGGGAGCAAGCGUUGUUCGGAUUACUGGCGUAAAGGGCGCGUAGGCGGUCGUGACAAGUCACUUGUGAAAUCUCCGGGCUUAACUCGGAACGGUCAAGUGAUACUGUCGGACUAGAGUACAGAAGGGGCAACUGGAAUUCUCGGUGUAGCGGUGAAAUGCGUAGAUAUCGAGAGGAACACCUGCGGCGAAGGCGGGUUGCUGGGCUGAUACUGACGCUGAGGCGACGAAAGCCAGGGAGCGAACGGG
rnacentral:rRNA from 1 species